rnacentral:lncRNA from 1 species
GGGGAUACAGCCUGCUCCUUCCGCAGGUGAAGCCUCCUGUGAGGAUACCAACGUUACCUCAGGUGCAUAUGCUCUUCAGAAGAUUCUGGAGACUGUGCUUCUGAGGCGUGAAGUGGUAAACGGAGAAGACAAGGAAACCCAGACAGAGGAGCCACCGCCCCAGGCUGGGGUAUCUCAGGAGAGCCGUCAUCUGGGUUUCAAGAUCGAACCUGGACGUUUCCAAGCAGAAGGGUGCAGGGCUGGAGGGGUGGUCUCUACAUGGAGAAGACAGACAUCAGUGUGGUCUCUACAUGGAGAAGACAGACUUCAGUGACUUAGUGUGUCUGAGCGUUGUGGGGAAGUGUCAGGAGACGCUGGAAAGCAUUUGGAAAAACGUGGCAUACAUCCCUAGAUCACUGAGCAAUGGCAUGAGACAGGUGUCAUUCCAGAAACUAUUCAGAGUUGAACAAGAAAGGAAAUGCAAUCACAGCUUGCCACUCACACCAGCAGAGAACAGAGGAGGCCAAAAUAAAAAAGACUAUAUAAACAAAAAUCAUAAUAUCUAAGUUGGGGGGCUGUGGGGAGUUGAACUGGGGUAAUGAGAGCAGGCAACUCCUCAGGCGCCCUAACGGAAGUUGAUGAAAUGACCGGAAAUGAACAAAUCAAGAAAUAAGAGCGCGUGCACGUUAUUUAGAAACAGGCGCAGAAAUUCUACAAGAAUUAGGUAGGAGUGCAAAGUUGUAGCUUGGAGGGUGGGUGGAUGCAGGUAAGGAGAGGUGGAGCAGGGCAUCGUCCUUUGGAUGGAACUGUACGUGAGCUGAGCUUUUGUUUGACUGAAUACUUUUUUUCAAGGACAAGGAGGUUCUGCACCAGCUGAGCUUUCUGGUGCGCCAUGAAAUUGCACCAGAAUUUGUCUUUAUGGCAUGUUUCUCCUCAUACGAGAUCAAGAAGAACCCGUCUGGAUCCGAAAAUACACACAGAGACGACGAGGACACACAAGGGGACCUCUUUUCUUCCCGACGCUUUCGUCAACUCAAGAAAACUUGUUCGUCAAGGCAGCCGUUGCUCUACUGACUUGCAUCAUGCCUGCCCCCAGCCACAUUUUUCAGAGACAGCGUCUCGCAUCUGGGAUUUCACAAGCGACAGUGGGGGAGGUGGGUGGGAGCCGAGCGCGGUCCUUGCUCCUGCAUUCUCGGGAUGGAAUGAGACAGAGCCUGUUUGGCGCGGAAGACAGAGCUCUGGGGAUGAAUUUAUCAGAUAAACUACAAUUUUCUCUGUGCUUAUCGUCUGAACCAGAAAUUACAAUCUUGAACACUUGUGGAGCUGGAAAAGCUCGAUCUGUGUCAGCACGGCCCUAGAAGUGGACAAGACGCCUGAAGGGCAGUCUGGCCUUUGGAAUCCGUCCAUGCCUGUUUCUCCGGAGGGACUCAGGCCCCAUCCCCACCAGCAGAAAGCCAGCGUGCUUGGGAAUACACAGAGCUAUGCGUAAAAUGGAAAUGUUUACAAUGCAGAAUCUGUGCUGUCCAGUCUAAGUGGGGCCGGCGUACUAUUAAAAGCGAGAGACGAGAAACGUGAAGAGAACAAAAGCCGUGCCGUCCAGCAAAGCCACAAUAUCCAGUCCCACAUCACGUCCAUUGCCCCAAAGGAAGUCCUCAUUGAGCAACCUCUUCCCACCCCCUCAGCCCCCAGCCCCUGGUAACCACGGACUCGCUUUCUGUCUCUAUAGAUGGGCUGAAUCUGGAGAGUUCCUAUAACUGGAAUCACACAGCAUGAUUUGUGUCUGGCUGCUCUGACCUCGCACAGUAUUUUCAAGGUUCAUGAAUGUUAUAUAGCAUGUAUCAACACUUCCUUUUUAUACCAGAAGAUUGCAUUAUGAUACCACACUUUGGAGUUCCUGUGGUGGCUCAGUGAUUAACAAACCCAACUAGGAUCCAUGAGGAAGCAGGUUCGAUCCCUGGGCUCGCUCAGUGGGUUAAGGAUCCCGGGCUGCAGUGAGCCGUGGUGUAGGUCGCAGAUGCAGGUCAGAUCUGGCAUUGCUGUGGCUGUGGUGUAGGCUGGCAGCUGCAGCUCUGAUUAGACCCCUAGCCUGGGAACCUCCAUAUGCUGAGGGUAUGACCCUAAAAAGCAAAAUAAUAAUAAUCAUCAUUAUAAUAGCACACUUUAUUUAUCCAUGCAUCUGUUGAUGGACAUUUGGGUCGGUCCACUUGGGGCUAUGGUAAACAGUGCUGCUGCAAACAUCUGAGGGCACGUGUUUGAGUUGUUGUGUUCAGAUCUUUGGGGUACCUGCUGAGGAGUUGAAAUGCUGGGUCAUAUGAUAAUUUUAUUUUAUUUUAUUUUUAAUUUUAUUUAUUUAUUUAU